rfam:Bacteroidetes bacterium RIFCSPHIGHO2_02_FTLL_44_7 rifcsphigho2_02_scaffold_200519, whole genome shotgun sequence.
AUGACAGCGAUGUCAUAUCUGAAGUAAGUGAGACUGCAAAGGUCUGUACUGACGAACAGAAACUGGAUAUGAGGCAUAGUUGAGAGGAUGAGAUAGCACAGCUUAUCGAAGUCCGAAGAAUACAAAAACUCAGGUAUGUAGAUUCAGCAGGAAUAGACCGAAGGGGAUUUGU